AUUGAACGCUGGCGGCAUGCCUUACACAUGCAAGUCGAACGGUAACAGGUCUUCGGAUGCUGACGAGUGGCGAACGGGUGAGUAAUACAUCGGAACGUGCCCGAGAGUGAGGGAUAACGAGGCGAAAGCUUUGCUAAUACCGCAUACGAUCUCAGGAUGAAAGCAGGGGACCGCAAGGCCUUGCGCUCACGGAGCGGCCGAUGGCAGAUUAGGUAGUUGGUGGGAUAAAAGCUUACCAAGCCGACGAUCUGUAGCUGGUCUGAGAGGACGACCAGCCACACUGGGACGGAGACACGGCCCAGACUCCUACGUGAGGCAGCAGUGGGGAAUUUUGGACAAUGGGCGCAAGCCUGAUCCAGCCAUGCCGCGUGCAGGAUGAAGGCCUUCGGGUUGUAAACUGCUUUUGUACGGAACGAAAAGACUCCUUCUAAUAAAGGGGGUCCAUGACGGUACCGUAAGAAUAAGCACCGGCUAACUACGUGCCAGCCGCCGCCGUAACAC
rnacentral:rRNA from 1 species